rnacentral:rRNA from 1 species
AACGCGAAGAACCUUACCUGGGCUCGAAGCGCAGUGGACCGGGGUGGAAACAUCCCUUUCCGCAAGGACUGCUGCGGAGGUGCUGCAUGGCUGUCGUCAGCUCGUGUCGUGAGAUGUUGGGUUAAGUCCCGCAACGAGCGCAACCCUUAUCGUUAGUUGCCAGCGAGUCAAGUCGGGCACUCUAGCGAAACCGCCUCGGAUAACGGGGAGGAAGGUGGGGAUGACGUCAAGUCCUCAUGGCCUUUAUGUCCAGGGCUACACACGUGCUACAAUGGCCGGUACAAACCGUCGCAAACCCGCGAGGGGGAGCUAAUCGGAAAAAGCCGGCCUCAGUUCGGAUUGGAGUCUGCAAUUCGACUCCAUGAAGCUGGAAUCGCUAGUAAUCGCAGAUCAGAACGCUGCGGUGAAUACGUUCCCGGGCCUUGUACACACCGAGUAUA